rnacentral:tRNA from 3 species
GGCGGUGUAGCUCAGUUGGUUAGAGCAGAGGUUUCAUAAGCCUCCUGUCCGGGGUUCGACUCCCUGCACCGCCACUA